rnacentral:rRNA from 1 species
UACGUAGGGUGCGAGCGUUGUCCGGAAUUACUGGGCGUAAAGAGCUCGUAGGUGGUUUGUCGCGUUGUUCGUGAAAACCGGGGGCUUAACCCUCGGCGUGCGGGCGAUACGGGCAGACUUGAGUACUGCAGGGGAGACUGGAAUUCCUGGUGUAGCGGUGGAAUGCGCAGAUAUCAGGAGGAACACCGGUGGCGAAGGCGGGUCUCUGGACAGUUCCUGACGCUGAGGCACGAAGGCCAGGGGAGCAAACGGG